UACGUAGGGGGCAAGCGUUGUCCGGAUUUAUUGGGCGUAAAGAGCGUGUAGGCGGCUUGGUAGGUCCGCUGUGAAAACUCGAGGCUCAACCUCGAGAUGUCGGCGGAAACCACUUGGCUAGAGUCCGGAAGAGGAGAGUGGAAUUCCCGGUGUAGCGGUGGAAUGCGCAGAUAUCGGGAAGAACACCUAUGGCGAAGGCAGCUCUCUGGGACGGUACUGACGCUGAGACGCGAAAGCGUGGGGAGCGAACAGG
rnacentral:rRNA from 1 species